GCCAGCAUGGUGUAGUGGUUUGAAUGUUGGACUAGGACUCUGGAGACCAGGGUUCGAUUUUCUACUCAGCCA